CAUGAACUCUCUAAAAUAGAGAUCUGCUGUGCUUAAGAUCCUUCAAUGGUUUCUCCCAAGAUAUUGGGAUCUCUGAAGACAAGGACUGUGUCCCCAGAAACUCAUCGACUCUCUGGUGUCUCUGGGUCUAUGCACAUGAUGUCUCCAAGGCCAGGUAUCAUUAUUUAUCUAAAUCUCCGGAGCCAUUGAGGACCAAGAUCAUACUUGCUGAAUAAAUGCACGGAACAGGAUCAGAGGAUAGACACAGAAUGGGCCAAGAAGAGAAAUAUUAUUCCUCAUAAGAGCUUGCUUGAUUGCCACCACCAAGGACAUCCCCAAACCAGGGGCAAGAAGGACCAUCAGUAAUUCUUUCCCAUAAAUAGUGACAGGAAGAAAAUAAACGCCCUAUUCUUCAAUGAUUUGAACCACCUCUGGAGCACGAACUUCCUCUAAAUUCACAGGGCAAAUAUCCAUCAUGGGGCAGGUAUCUAUGCUGCCAUGGAAAGUAACAUAAAAUGUACUAAGUCAUCACAGGGAGUUUUAAUUUUGUUUUUAAGGUCAAUUGCCAUGCUGGGGUAAAAAGCAUUGAUCCUUGCCUUUUAUCACCGGAAAAAUUCUUCACCAGUACUUUGUGAAAAUCUCGCCUCAUCAGGGCUGCCAAGGUCAAUGCAACCUAAGUAACCAAGCUGGGAGAUGCUUGCCUAAUUAUUAAAUAUUUAGCAAACAGUUUGUGACUAUUUAACUGUUUGCACCUGGCACCCUCUUUUCACUACGUGAGGCCUCCUGGCACCCUGACCUCUUCCCCCACCCCUACCCACUGCCCAGGCCGCCAGCACCCCUGGGGGGCAAAUACCGGGACCCAAGGGCAUUUCAAAGAAACAGCAGAGGUCACAUUCCAUUUCCUUUUUAUUAAAAAACAUACUUAAAAUGGGGGAGGAGGGCACAGAUCUAAGGUAAAAUCUCUUGCAGUUUUUUCAAGUUCGCAUGCACCGUUGAAAGUUCAUUAGUUAGGGAUUUAAAAGCAAAAA
rnacentral:lncRNA from 1 species